AAUGAAUGAUGCUAGCAUUUUCUAAGCACUUCCUUAAAUCUUUCCCAACUCUCAUAAUUGAAUUCUCCAUUAAAUUGAGUAAAAUAAGUUAUGUAAUUUCUAUGUU